AAAUAUAUGCUUUAUCAGUAGUCAUCAAUAAUCUGCAUAGAUAGUAGAUCCAUAUGACUACCUUGUGAUCCCAAGCAUCAAUUUGACGAAAUCACUUUGAAUGUUGCAUCUGUAUUUGCAAGAAAUUGAAAAUUUCAAUUGCAAAUAGACGUAUUAAUCUCGACAUGUGUUUAACAUGGAAAUAAAUGCAUCAUAGAUAUAUUCCGGAAUACAUCGUACUCAACGUAGAAACAGUACUGCAGAGGUACUGAAUUUUAUCUUUGCAAGAGAUGAGAAAUCUCGAUUGCAAAUGAACGUAAUUAGUCUCAACACGUGAUAAACGUGAAAAUAUAUUACAUCAACUUAAGAUCUGGAAUACAUCUCGGUACUCAAUAGAUAUACACUACUAUUGUAAUGAAUAGUAAUGAUGUUGCAAACUUGAUGUUCAAGUGAAAAACUUGAAUUGUAUAGACCUCAAAAUAAAAUGAGAUGAUUUUGUAUCAAGUUGCAAGAUAUAUAAUUCAGCAGAGUGAAUUAAUAUUUUGCGAGAGAAAGUAAUCUCAAUUGCAAUGAGAUUGUUUUGCGAGAAAAAUUUCUCAAUGCAAAUCAACAUUGUUGUGCGAGAACCUGUCCAUUGAUUUGUAAUUUACGGAGACUUAAAUGUGAAAUACAGAUAAGUCAAGGAUUAUUCUGCAUGCUGAAUUAAGUCAAAAGACUUCAAACAGCAGCGUCCAAUCCGUAAAUAUGCAAAACAACGAGGCCUGAAGUACAAAAAAAACCCGGAUAGAGAUAAGGUUUUUUCUCCUGUGCAGUUUCCGAUCACUAGUAAAUCGUAACUGCCUCCGCCUCUCGGGCUCGCCGGCCACGAGCGCGGGGCGGCCACGGGCACGGCCGGGCGGCCGGGCGCGGGGCGCGGCCCGACGCGGGCGGCGGCCGGGCUGACGGGGAUGGCCGAGGCGGCGAGUACCGUCUCGGCGCAGCCGGCGCUGUGGCCGCAUCCAACGGCGCGAUGGCCGUGUCCUGCGGGCAAGCGAGGGCGGAGCGCGGCGCGUGGCCGGGCACGGGGCGCGGCACGGGACUCGACGGGCGUGGCGCGGCGCGUUGGCCACCGCUGCAGUCUGGUACCGCAUGUGCGCGAGCGCCGCAGUCAACGGCAAGCGAGAUAGGCUCGUCAGCCGGAAGAAGGAACGCUGCGUCGGCCGCUGGCCGUCUUCACCCCAAUAUGAGUUGGGGCUGCAGAUGAGCCGCGCUGGGAGGUUCCACGCCAAGGUCGAAGGCCAUCGUCGUGUGAUGUUCUUCCCGCUCCUGCAUGUCUGAAGGCAGCCGCUGCGUGCGCAGCCCAGGUAUGCCAAAACAUCCGAUGACAGAGUUUGAUGCGUGCAGACUUAAAAUCGGAAAAUAGCACCUUGAUUCUUGUUCGUAGCAAUGAGAUCAAGACGUUGAUAUUUGCUUCGGUUGCUUGUUGACUCUGAUUUCUCUCUUCCUUGAUUCCAAUCCAUUGAGCACAGGGAUGUGCCAGGAGGCCGAAAAUUAAGAUCGCCACAGACUGGGACGGCGGGACCGUCGGAAUUGCUGCCUCCGUUGUCGAAGACGUUGCCACGCGUCGGGCGUCGCUGCAAACAUUGGAUGGAAGUCUGUGCAUCAAAUGCUGUCGUUGCUCCAUGUCCUUGGCCGUCCCCUCCGUAACAGCCAUGUCGGGAUGGCCUAGUCACUCUCUGCGGAGAAACUAAAGUGCUGAUAACGUGUUAGAAAGGGAAACGAGAGACAAUCGAGAGAGCCUUGGAACACAUGUAAAAGUGAAUCCUUGUUCUCAUUGAUGAUGGGUUACACAUAUAUAUAUAACCCCCGAAGGGGUGUCUCCGAAGGGACACAAGGCAACCGCCUCCUUUAGGAAAAGUAGGGAUUAACAGGAUUAAUUAAAUCCUAACAAUCAUCAACCCUUCUCCAUCGCUAAUUCCAUGAUGCUCCCCAUCAGGAGUGAGUAAUCCCUUCGUAGGCUCGCUGGUCGGUGAGGAGUUAGAUGAGAUUCAUCAUGUAAUCGAGUUAGUUUUGUUAGGGCUUGAUCCCUAGUAUCCAUUAUGGUCUGAGGUUGAUGUUGCUAUGACUUUUCCAUGCUUAAUGCUUGUUACUUUGGGCCCGGGUACCAUGAUUUCAGAUCUGAACCGUUUAUGUUAUCACCAUUAUAUCUAUGUUCUAGAUCCGAUCUUGCAAGUUAUAGUCACCUACUACGUGUUAUGAUCCGGCAACCCCGGAGUGACAAUAGUCGGGACACUUCCCAAUGAUGACCGUAGUUUGAGGAGUUCAUGUAUUCACCUUGUGUUAAUGCUUUGUUACAGUUCUAUAUUAAAAGGAGGCCUUAAUAUCCCUUAAUUUCCAAUAGGACCCCGCUACCACGGGAGGGUAGGACAAAAGAUGUCAUGCAAGUUCUUUCCACUUAAUUCUAACGAGAAUCAGAUUAAAUAGGUCGACAAAAAUCAUUUUAGGAGUUGUGAUAAAGUCUCUUCAUUCUUUCAUAGAAUGAUACAAAGCAAGGCUGCAGGGUUUAGGUCAAAAAUAAACAUAGGUAAGGUAGGUAUCCAAUAAAUAUUUAUCUAUCGAUAAUUUUAUGGUAUAUUCGGGCGUCCUUUGCUUAAAAAAAGAGUAACAAAAGGAAUAAAAAAUCUUCCUAUUCCCGCUUCUUCUA
rnacentral:lncRNA from 1 species